GAUGAAGAACGUAGCGAAAUGCGAUAAGUAGUGUGAAUUGCAGAAUUCAGUGAAUCAUCGAAUCUUUGAACGCACAUUGCGCCCCUUGGUAUUCCAUGGGGCAUGCCUGUUCGAGCGUCAUUUGUACCUUCAAGCUCUGCUUGGUGUUGGGUGUUUGUCUCGCCUCUGCGUGUAGACUCGCCUCAAAACAAUUGGCAGCCGGCGUAUUGAUUUCGGAGCGCAGUACAUCUCGCGCUUUGCACUCAUAACGACGACGUCCAAAAGUACAUUUUUACACUCUUGACCUCGGAUCAGGUAGGGAUAACCGCUGAACUUAAGCAUAUCAAUAAGCGGAGGA
rnacentral:misc_RNA from 1 species